AUUGAACGCUGGCGGCAUGCUUUACACAUGCAAGUCGAACGGUAACAGCACUUCGGUGGCUGACGAGUGGCGAACGGGUGAGUAAUACAUCGGAACGUGCCUAGUAGUGGGGGAUAACUACUCGAAAGAGUAGCUAAUACCGCAUGAGAUCUAAGGAUGAAAGCAGGGGACCUUCGGGCCUUGCGCUACUAGAGCGGCUGAUGGCAGAUUAGGUAGUUGGUGGGAUAAAAGCUUACCAAGCCGACGAUCUGUAGCUGGUCUGAGAGGACGACCAGCCACACUGGGACGGAGACACGGCCCAGACUCCUACGGGAGGCAGCAGUGGGGAAUUUUGGACAAGGGGCGCAAGCCUGAUCCAGCAAUGCCGCGUGCAGGAUGAAGGCCUUCGGGUUGGAAACUGCUUUUGUACGGAACGAAAAGACCUCUUCUAAUACAGAAGGGUCAUGACGGUACCGUAAGAAUAAGCACCGGCUAACUACGU
rnacentral:rRNA from 1 species